rnacentral:rRNA from 1 species
CGAUCCUAAACGGUGGGUUAACUCCAAAUACAUAGAUACUUGUAUCUUGUACCGUGAAAGGGAAACAGGUUAAUAUUCCUGUACUAUAUCAAGGAGGUAAAAUGGCAACAUAACUGAACUCAAAUACAUCAGUAGAAUAACCAGGAAGAGUUCUCUUUUCUUUUUAACGACUUCUCCGCAAGGGGUGUAUAAUGACCAUGGAAUCAAUUUAGUUGGAGAAAUGGUUAAAGAGUCGGUAGAGUAAAUCAAUUUCUGAUUUAUCUGGUUAGGUUCUAAUGGUACAUAAAAAUUUGUAGGGAAGUGAUCUUACUUGAAUAGUCGUACUCAUAACCGCAGCAGGUCUCCAAGGUUAGAAGCCUCUAGUUGGCAGAAUAAUGUAGGUAAGGGAAGUCGGCAAAAUAGAUCUGUAACUUCGGG